rnacentral:rRNA from 1 species
UACAGAGGUGGCAAGCGUUGUUCGGAAUUACUGGGCGUAAAGGGCGCGUAGGCGGUCUUUUAAGUUCCGUGUGAAAUCCCUCGGCUCAACUGGGGAACUGCACGGGAAACUGGAAGGCUUGAGUUCGGGAGAGGUGAGUGGAAUGCCGAGUGUAGAGGUGAAAUUCGUAGAUAUUCGGCGGAACACCAGUGGCGAAGGCGACUCACUGGCCCGAUACUGACGCUGAGGCGCGAAAGCGUGGGGAGCAAACAGG